UUUAACGGCCGCGGUACCCUAACCGUGCGAAGGUAGCAUAAUCACUUGUUCUUUAAAUGGGGACUCGUAUCAACGGCACCACGAGGAUCAUACUGUCUCCCCCUUCCAAUCAGUGAAACUGAUCUCUCCGUGAAGAAGCGGAGAUUUAAUUAUAAGACGAGAAGACCCCAUGGAGCUUUAAACCCGAUAACACCCCUAUUUAAUUUAACCUUUAUAUUUUUUGGGCCCUGUUUACUCGGUUUUAGGUUGGGGUGACCGCGGAGUACAAAAUAACCUCCACGAAGAAUGGACUUAAUUCCUUAUCCAAGAGAUACACCUCUAAGAAUUAGUAUACUAAUAUUAAAUGAUCCGAUAUUUUAAUCGAUCAACGAACCAAGUUACCCUGGGGAUAACAGCGCAAUCCACUUCAAGAGCUCUUAUCGACAAGUGGGUUUACGACCUCGAUGUUGGAUCAGGGUAUCCUAGUGGUGCAGCAGCUACUGAAGGUUCGUUUGUUCAACGAUUAAAACCCUACGUGAUCUGAG
rnacentral:rRNA from 1 species